rnacentral:rRNA from 1 species
UACAGAGGGUGCGAGCGUUGUUCGGAAUCAUUGGGCGUAAAGCGCUUGUAGGCGGCCUGUCAAGUCGCGUGUGAAAUCCCUUGGCUUAACCAAGGAAGUGCGCGCGAAACUGGCGGGCUUGAGUGCCGGAGAGGGUCGCGGAAUUCCCGGUGUAGAGGUGAAAUGCGUAGAUAUCGGGAGGAAUACCAGUGGCGAAGGCGGCUUCCUGGCCUGUUCUUGACGCUGAGGCGCGAAAGCUAGGGUAGCAAACGGG